CAUAAAAUUUUCAUACAAAAUUUCCACAAAUUAAUAAAAAGCACAAAAGUAUUAAAAUCAAAAAAAUAUACUCUCACUCAAAUUUUCAAGUUACUUUAAAACUUGCAACUAAAAACACAAAAUUCAAUAAACUUAAUGUAAAAGAAAUAAUUAAAGAAAAUAUUUAUAAUUAUGACAACAACAACAACAACACAUUAAUGGUCUCCAAUAAUAUUUCCUACACACACACCACACUCAACCCAUACGCCACAAAUGCUAACAGCACAAUCACAGCGACAGCAGCUACAACAACAACAACAACAGCAUUAAAAUUAAAUCCGCAAGAAAUUACUGUAUAAGUAACGCUGAAAGACGAAAAGAUGGCCGUAGCAAAAUCGAUAAAAAUGUACCUGACCAUAUUCGUGGCGACCACCUGUAUAUAUAUGGUACUCUAUCAAUAUCAUUUGUCGCGGCAGCCGAUACCACAGCCGGAAUAUAUAGUAAAGAACAAGGCAAUUCCGAACGAUGCAGAGGAUGUCUCGGCUAGUGCAGGAAAAUAUAAUUCAUAUUUAUGGUCAUCAAUGUCGCUAUUUAGUGCGCGACAACCACAACAGCAACAAUCACUACAGCAAGCGCAACAAAUACAAGACGAACAACAGCAACAAGCACAACAAUCAAUCAGCGAAAGGCAAUCAAAUGUAACUGCGAGUAACACUAGAGCAGCAACUAGAACAACAACAAUAAAACAAAUUGUAAAUCAACGAAUAGCAAGAGCGCAAAGUGAUGCACAACCGUUAUCAUCACCAUUACAAGCCACAGUAACCAAAGCACAAAAUAAUAAUUCAACAAAAAAUUCAUCAUCGUCAUCAUCAUCAUCGCCAUCGCCAUCGCCAUCACCAUCGCCAUCACAAGCAUCAUCAACCGCAACACACAUCACAUCUGUCGCCUCUACAAACACAUUCACAUCAUUGCCCUCGGCAGCAGCAUCAAGUCGUUUGUUAAACGCCUCCCUCAACACUCGACAACAGUUGAUUACGCCAAAUGCUGCAGCGGCGGUUGACAGUUUGAAAAACUAUUCGCCACUAGUUGGCGCUUUCAAUGGUAGUAGUUCAACGACAACAAGAACAACAAUGAGAACAAUAGCAAGUAACUGUAAUACAGCUGCACAUUCAUCGCUUUUAAAUUCCAGCGAUGUCUCGCGUCCAGCUGCUGGCACAAUUGCGAAUGACACAAAUCCAUUACCCCCACCACUGUACAUUAUAACACCAACCUUUCGUCGCGCCGAGCAAUUGGCAGAAUUGACACGACUCGGUUACACGCUGAAACAUGUGGUGAAUCUGCUUUGGCUCGUCAUUGAGGAUGCGAAUCAAACAUCGCCGCUGGUGAUACAUACACUUAAUCGGAUUGGUGUGCCUUAUGAAUACUUUUUGGCGCCCAUGCCGGAGGAGUACAAAAAGGCGAAAAAGACAAAACCACGUGGCGUCUCAAAUCGUAAUCGUGGUUUGGAGUAUAUACGCGCUAAUGCGACCAGUGGCGUCUUCUACUUCGCAGAUGAUGACAAUACAUAUGACAUCUCCAUAUUUGAACAGAUGCGCUACACAAAAAAGGUUUCAAUGUGGCCCGUCGGCUUGGUCACCCAAUUCGGCGUGAGUAGUCCCAUCAUACGUGAAGGUAAAAUCAAAGGUUUCUACGAUGGCUGGAUAGGCGGGCGUAAAUUUCCCGUCGAUAUGGCUGGCUUUGCGGUGAGCGUCAAGUUUCUACACGAACGGCCCAAUGCGAAAAUGCCCUUCAAGCCGGGCUAUGAAGAGGACGGUUUCCUAAAAAGUUUGGCCCCAUUAAAUUUGACUGAAAUUGAGCUGCUAGCAUCCAAUUGCACAGAGAUUCUUACGUGGCACACGCAGACGAAGAAGAACGCCAACGCUGCGGCGCUAAAUGUAUCUACUUAUGGCGAUACGAAUUUAGUGGAGUUGAAUAAAUUUCUAGUGCGUACGUAAGCUGGCGGGGGAUGUUUGUAGUAUACAUAUAUUUAUGAGUAUGUGAAGCUUUAUGUACAGCGAAGGCAGAGCUGUAAAGUGGCAUAGAUCCUUAACCAAAAAACUAAAAGCAGAAAAAUAAAUAAAAAAAAGAGUGAGCACAAAACGCAUAAAAAACU